GCUGUGAGCUCGGAUAGAAAAAUGUAUCAACCACCACGAACAGGUUGGUGUAUUGGGGCGGAUUGUUCUGUCCUCUGUAUUUCAGACCAAAGCAAGACAACGUUUAAAGCUCACUAUGGAUCUACUAACAGUGUGGCUGUGGAAGACUGGUCCCGUGAUGAUGUCUGCAAGUGGCUGAGUACCAAUGAUCUCCAUGAUUCCAUCCCAUCAUUCCAAGGAUCCAUUUUGAGACGACAGAGCAGAAAACACUAUAUGGAGAG